GUACACGCUGUGACUAGCAUAUCAAUAAGCGGAGGAAAAGAAACUAACAAGGAUUCCCCUAGUAACGGCGAGUGAAGCGGGAAGAGCUCAAAUUUGAAAUCUUAAAGGGUUUCCCUUUACGAAUUGUAGUUUAAAGAAGUGUUUUCUGUUGAGGUUUUGGUAAAAGUUCUUUGGAAUAGGACAUCAUAGAGGGUGAGAAUCCCGUAUUUGACCUUUACUUUUCAACUUUGUGAUACACUUUCAAAGAGUCGGAUUGUUUGGGAAUGCAGUCCAAAAUGGGUGGUAAAUUUCAUCUAAAGCUAAAUAUUGGCGAGAGACCGAUAGCGAACAAGUACCGUGAGGGAAAGAUGAAAAGAACUUUGAAAAGAGAGUUAAACAGUACGUGAAAUUGUCAAAAGGGAAGCGUUUGACACCAGUGUUGUUUUUCUGAAAAUCAAUUAAAGAACUGUUUAUGCUAAGCUGUUUAGACUUUAUCAGCUAAUCUGUUUAGUUUUGAGCUUUUCUUUAAUGCACUUUUCAGUUAACAAGUCAACAUCAAUUUCUUUUGCUGUAAAAAAGCUUGAGGAAGGUGGCUUGAGAUUCGUCUUAAGUGUUUAUAGCCUCUUGCCUAUGCAGUCGGAGAGAUUGAGGUCUGCAGCGUAGAUCCUUCGGGGCUAAAUGCAUUUGUGCUAAGUUAUAGCAUUUUAUAGACAACUUGUUGACUAUGAUUUGUCUUGUAGCUUACUCGCUUAUGUUAUUUUACCUACGCUUAGGAUGUUGAGUCGUAGAGCACGCAG
rnacentral:rRNA from 1 species